UGCCCCUGCUGGACAUUUGGGUGGCACCCAACAUGAAGAAACCCAAGAAAGUCUCAAGAAUCCGCCCAUCGCUGGUCUUGGGCUGGGCUGACCGCAGCUUCGUUGUCUCUUUUAAAUCAGCUGAGAGGAUGGAGCAAUGGUAUAAGGAGCUUUGUAGCAACAUUUACAGUGAGAACAUGGACUAUGUGGACG